UAAAGGGAACGCUUAAGAGAAAUGUACUGAAAACCCUAUAGAAUGAAAACUCCACGAGAAAAUCUGUUGGCCAACAAGUGGGAGGGUUUUCAGUGGUUGAAAUACAUUUAUUCAGCGACCCACCUCUGCGAAGCCUUUUACGCACCUUCAUAAGGUAAGUCUGAAUACCAAUUACUGAGAAGUGCACAAGAAGGGCGUCAUUUCCUAAGUCGGAAUCGGGCCCUUAAAGCAUAGAGCAUGGCCUUCACACACAGCCAGAGGGCACGCCAGCUGCAGCUCACUGUGGCCCUUAGUACCUGCCUCUCUAUGUGUACGCAUACACAUGGCUGCUAUAUGCACUAAACACAGGUUGCCAACUAACCCAAAGCCCACAGAAGGUCACAGUUAACGAGAGACUCAUGCUGUGCUUAGACUAGCUAAACAACAUCAACAGCUUCCAUUAUAGACCUAUGUGGCUGGCUAGAGCUGUCACCUUCGUGUUCGUUUUCUUCAAUUUGUAGCGUACAUUUUGCAUCAUUCCUCUCUGGUCAUGAUUAACACACCACUGCAGAAGGAAUUAUGAGCAUUGAAGAAGUUCUCUCUCAUGUAAUGGAUAUGGAGCAGAUGAGAGGCUUUGGGGUACAGAGAUAGCAAGCUUUGGGAGAAUGCCCUGCAGAGAUACAGUAGGUAUGAAUGGAGUGUGUGUGUAUGUAUGCAUGUACUGUAUGUGUGUGUGCUUGUGUUUUUUAGUUCCUGUGUGUGUGUGGAGAGUACAAUCGGUAAGCCGCAGCUCAAACGCAUAAUGCUUCAUUAAACUUCUAAUGAAGGGCACCGACCGCUGGCAUCCAGCACCUGUGUGGGCAUACUUGUGCCACCGCAGGAGGGGGAGCCAGGUGUUCCAAGAACAGUACCACCCAAGCCAGAGAAAACAGGGACGAAGCAUGUCGUCCCAACUUCGUUCGCCCACAUCGCCCUUCCUCCUCCUUCAAAGCAACAGCCAUUUAACAAAUGCACUAUUCUGAGCUUGUUUUGAUAGAGUCAAGACCCAGCUCAAAACUCCUUUUAAGGAAGAGAGGAGUGCCAAAAAGGCAGGAUUUGAUCCUGUUUUGGGGCUGAAAACUGUGCAGUAAAGUGUUCAGAUCCAGAGCCCCUGGAGAGAUCGAUGACCACUGUGCUUCCUCUGAUACAGUCAGGGACACAGAGAGGACUGACUACAUGAAACGGCAAUAGACAGUCCUCCAAACAAACAGAGUCUAUGCGGGUUAGGAAUCACACACACACACACACACUGGAGCUGUAGCUAUCCAAACCUGUUUGAAUGGAAGCCAGAAAAGCUGAUAGAGAACAAAUUCUCAAUAAGAAACAAGCAAUGUUGCUGAUGAUUUUUCCUCAGGAGACUUUCCAAGAACACCCGAUUUAUUCAUUCUCUCCUGAGAGAGAAAAAAACACAACAACCACAACAUUGCGCAUGACUUUCAUGACUGAUAAUCAGCCUGUGUUUGCCAUUUCAGAAUGACCAAGUAUGACCUGAUAGUGAAGACACACAGUUCAAACUCCUCAGGGGUUUCAGAUGGUUUAGGUCCUCCAGCAGCAAGCCUCCCCAAGACAGAGUGAAAGAGAGACCCAGUUCAACAUCAGAACGAGUGGUACUAGCCUUUAUACAGUAUGCCAGGUGAGAGAGGGGAGGCCACUUGCCCGCUCUGCCCAUCCAUGCACUCCUCUUCCAAAAUGGAAGGAUAAACAGACCACAUAGCAGUGAUGCCACUCCCCCAGGCAGCUACAUCCCUCUCUCCCUUCCCUUCCCUCUCUCCCCUUCUCUAUUCUCUACUCUACUCUCCGCCCAUCUGCUUUUCCUCCCAUAAACUAGGUGACAUAGUGUAGAGUGCUGCCAGAGAAACUCCUCGCCUACUGCUGGACCCACAGCCUUUCUCCCAGCCUCCUCACCAGACUGGCUGUGACCUCCAGAUCAACAUCUACCAUCCAUCUAUCCACCCCACUGGAGCAGACCUCUGUAGCUGAACCAACAACCACCACAGCACAGCCACAGCGAGGGCUAAGCAGGGGGAUGUCAUCUGCAUCCAUCCACCCACCAUCACUAGCCUUCCCGAGGAACCUUCCAGAAGACCCCCCUGAAUGAAGCGCUUUGC